UAGGUAGAGGCCUGUUGUUUAGGGCACCUAACUGUUAAUUAGGGGCAUUGUGGGAUCGAAGCCCACCUACCUAG
rnacentral:tRNA from 1 species